rnacentral:rRNA from 1 species
GUGGGGAAUCUUGCGCAAUGGGCGAAAGCCUGACGCAGCCAUGCCGCGUGAAUGAUGAAGGUCUUAGGAUUGUAAAAUUCUUUCACCGGGGACGAUAAUGACGGUACCCGGAGAAGAAGCCCCGGCUAACUACGUGCCAGCAGCCGCGGUAAUACGAAGGGGGCUAGCGUUGCUCGGAAUUACUGGGCGUAAAGGGCGCGUAGGCGGAUCGUUAAGUCAGGGGUGAAAUCCCAGAGCUCAACUCUGGAACUGCCCUUGAUACUGGCGAUGUUGAGUGUGAGAGAGGUAUGUGGAACGCCGAGUGUAGAGGUGAAAUUCGUAGAUAUUCGGAAGAACACCAGUGGCGAAGGCGACAUACUGGCUCAUUACUGACGCUGAGGCGCGAAAGCGUGGGGAGCAAACAGGAUUAGAUACCCUAGUAGUCC